rnacentral:lncRNA from 1 species
GACAUUCUCCCAUUUUGGAGACACAACAGAACUUGAUCAUCGUGACUAACCAGUAGUUUGACUGUCUUAAAAGUUUACUUCAAACUGUAUGCCUAAACUUCAAUUCAGAGCCUCUUAAACGCUACUUGAAAUUACUUAGGCAUAUAAGGAGGAAUUUGCAAAAAGCAACCUACAAAAAGUGAAACCAGCCUUCUGGUUUCUUACAGAAAAUUUUAAACAGGGAAGGUUACUUAACUUUUUUUCCCCUUUUUUCCUUAACUUCUGAUUUAAUUGAAGCAAGGCACUUCCCUCCAUGUCUAACCCCUCAACCCAGCCACAGUAUUAUGUUCCCAACCAGUUCUUCAUUUCAAAUGACAAAUAGCUUAUCUGCUCACUUUGAUACGUAAAGCAUCUUAGUUGUUAUUGCUUCAGGAAAAUCUUUUUUUACAGGAAAGUACCCUAAACACUCAUUUAUGAGUGUUCCAAUGCAACCCUCUACAACCCACUGAAGCUGUCACACAGUGAACGAUGAACUUAAUAGCUGCAAAAAAAGAACAAAUUAAUACUACUCAACAGUCUAGCAGUUAGCUUCUCUUUCUUGGAUAGGAAAAUCUUUUGCAAUGAAUAUUUUGCUCUUUCAUAGUAAAUAUUCAUUUUUUUAUUAUUUUUUUUUUUAAUGCAAGUAUUGCUAUCCUUCUACAAAUAAGGAAACAGAAAGGCAAAGUGAUUAACAGCUUGCUCUAGUUCCAAGGCUUAGAUCCAGAUGGCUGAAGCAGCUUUGUCCACUCUCUGAGCUGGCAGAAGCUGAACUAUUUUGAUUCAAACAUAAUUUACACACAUUAGCUUAAAGCACCCCAGCAGUUAAGUUGCCUAUCAGCUUUUCAGAAGAUGAGAGUCAUCAUUCAUUUUCUUAACCUCUCUCAUAAUUCUUGUUAGCUUUUUGUUCUUAGAAUUUAAAAUCUUUGGUUUCUAACGCUCUACGUGCAAUAUGUACACAGCACAGGCUGACAUCUAAAGCUUUCGAGUAUCUGUUCUGUUAUCAGUUAAUUUGAAAAUUUUCUCUGCGUGGAAGUAUCAGAUACAUUUGCACAAUGAGAGUUUAGCCAGUGUCCUGUUCCCUGAAAUCUCUAUUGAGAGCUCUUUGUUCCAGACUUCACCUUCAUUCUCCCCUCUACUCUGCUCUUGUGAGACCCCACCUGGAGUACUGAGUUCAGCUCUGGGGCAUGAGAAAGACACAAAUCUUUUAAAAUGGGUCAGGAGGAUGGCCACAAAAAUGAUCAGGGAGCUGGAGCACUUCUCUGAAGACAGGCUGAGGCUGAGAAAGUUGAUCAGUCUAGAGAGCGAAAGACCUUAUACUGACUUUUCAGCACUUAAAGGGGGCCUACAGGAAAAAUGGGGAGAGACUUUUUAUCAGGGAGUGUAGCAACAGGACAAGGGGUAAUGGUUUUAAACUAAAACAAGGUAGGCUUAGAUUAGAUAUUAGGAAGAAAUUAUUUGUGAUGAGGGUGGUGAGGCAUUGGAACAGGUUGUCCAGAGAAGCUGUGGAUGCCCCAUCCCAGCAACCCAGUCUAGUGAGAGGUGUCCCUGCCCAUGGUAGGGGUGUUGGAACAAGAUGAUCGAUUGUUAAGGGUCCUUUUCAACCCAAACCAUUCUAUGGUUCUAUGAUUACACGAUCUUUGGGGUACCUUCCAACCCAAAUCAUUCUAUGUUUCCAUGAUUUUGUGAUUUAUACCUAGAAGUAAGAAACCCAGAAAUAAUUUCCAUAAAUAAAUGAUACGUUACUAUUUUUACCUGGUAACA